rnacentral:rRNA from 1 species
GUGCCAGCCGCCGCGGUAAUACGGAGGAGGCAAGCGUUAUCCGGAAUUAUUGGGCGUAAAGCGUCCGCAGGCGGCUUAUCAAGUCUGCUGUCAAAGACUGGGGCUCAACCCUGGGAAGGCAGUGGAAACUGAGAAGCUAGAGUGCAGUAGGGGUAGAGGGAAUUCCCCGUGUAGCGGUGAAAUGCGUAGAGAUUGGGAAGAACACCGGUGGCGAAAGCGCUCUACUGGGCUGCAACUGACGCUGAGGGACGAAAGCUAGGGGAGCGAAAGGGAUUAGAUACCCCUGUAGUCCUAGCCGUAAACGAUGGGUACUAGGCGUAGCUUGUAUCGACCCGAGCUGUGCCGAAGUUAACACGUUAAGUACCCCGCCUGGGGAGUACGCACGCAAGUGUGAAACUUAAAGGAAUUGGCGGGG